UGUGGGAGCGGGCUUGCUCGCGAUAGCGGUGUAUCAGUUGCAGGUCAGGUGCCUGAACCAGCGCUAUCGCGAGCAAGCCCGCUCCCACA
rnacentral:misc_RNA from 1 species